AACUCUUAAGGGUAUUUGGUCUACUCUUUCACAUAUUGGGAGAUGUGGGCGUACCCACAUUUUAAACCGAACUGAACGUAGACAUUAGAAGAGAAAUGUACCUUUCUCACGCAAGAUUAUCACCGUUGCACGUGACGGAAUGACUGCCAGCUCCAAAGAGGCACAUGUUUGCAAUGUCUCAAGGUUUAACAUUUUUACAUUUACGACUCAGGUCUCCAACGAUAAACACAACUGGCUCAACUCGAAAAUGCUGUAAAGUCAGAGGAAUCAGCGCAGAGAUAAUGAAAAAUGAAAGUGUGACGAACCGAUUUACGCGCGCGUGGUUUUCGCAUUGAGCAACGCUGCAGGCCACCGUGAUGAAUUAUUCUUCCGAGCUUCGGCGUUCUUGGUUGUUUUCUCAAGGCUAAGUCUGCGCUUUGUCAGUAAACCCAUAACAAAUCGCACGCAGCGCAAAAAAAAAGCAUCCGAUUAAAAAAGGCGGCGGCAUAAAUGUUCUUAACGUAUUGCGUGCUCUAGCCUGGCUACAAUUCCCAGACUCCCCCUAGUUGGUGCUCAUUACAUCCUGGGUCAAGGGUCGCCUGGUCCCUCUCUCCCCAAGGGUUAAAAACAUCACAGCAUCACAACAUUCUUACCCCUAGCCCGCGACCCCCUCCACGGCCCCCCUGGGCGCCCUCGCCUCCCCCCGCAGCGGAGCCGCGCGGCGACCUCGCCGCGACCCCGAACACGGUCACAGCGCCGCUGCCGCAAUGACGACGCUACGACGACGACGCCGCGACGACGACGCCGCGACGACGACGAUGACGCUGUGACGACGACGACGACGACGACGAUGAUGACGCCGACGAGGUGCGUCGCACACGGGCGGAGCGGUGCCUCUUCUCGUGGCGGGGGGCAAGCUGGGCUCCGGCUCCCCCGAGAGAAGCCGCGUCCCGCCUCCGCUCGGGGGAUGGUGAAAGAGGUGAAGGUGAAGAGAGCCGUGUAAAUUAUGGAGCGGCUCUGGAGCGCGCGUCAUCAUCGUGAGCGAGUGACUCGACCGUUCGGCGCCGAGCUUCUGGACCGCCCGCAACACGGCACUGACGAGGAGCUGGACGUCGUGGAUCAACACUCAGCGUCGUGGAUCAACGCUCAGCGUGGCGACUGUUGGUGCCGCUCUUCUGCCCAAAAACUAUUCGAACUUAUUGCCAUGCUAUUCAAAAAAUAUAUAUAUUAUUAAACUAUUAUAUCCUUUGCCAUGUUUUUACUUAAGAAUUAUGCUCUUUCUCUAGUUCACUCAUACGCAAGAAUAUUCUUUUUUUCUGUGUCCACAGGAGGCAAUUAUCCGAUGAUAUGUUGCAGUUCCAUGGAGUGUGCGCACUGUAUGAGGACCGCUGACACCACGGAGUGCGCACGCCUCUCCGGCGAGAGAGCCAAGAUGGAUUGCCUGUGCCACGUGCCUCGCCGUUUACCCGGGUCCCAUUCUUUACGAACUCCAGGGACUGCUCCGCUGGGAAAUUCAUAACCCACGUCACACCACUGUGCGUGUGCUCAUGUGUGCGCUCGUGUGUGCGUGUGUGCUCGUGCGUGUGUGUGCGUGAGAGUGUGUGUGCUCGUGUGUGUGCUCGUGCGUGUGUGUGCGUGAGAGUGUGUGUGCUCGUGCGUGUGCUCGUGCGUGUGCUCGUCUGUGUGCGCGUUCGUUCUUGAGAGAGAGUGCGGCUCAGCAGCGUAGCGGUCAGCGCUCUGCACAGCGAACCCAACGACCCAAGUUCGAAUCUCGCUCGCCGCCAACAUCAGAGGGAAAUAUCUGAACUGAUUCUGGGCCUCCCAUAAGUCAACUCAGCCUUAAAUGAGUGCAUAAUGUGUUGUGUAAGCAUUAGGGUUGGAGGACACAAAGGCAGCCGGGUGUGGUGCUGGCUACACCAUCACCUCGUGUGCCGUGCCGGCCUUCGUAGGUGCUCGCUAACGACACUUGCCCCAACAGCCAGUGUAGGCUACACAAGAGAUUUGUGUCUUUGUGUCAGAUUACGUAAUUAUAUAUAUGCAUUCAUACGUACGUUUCGUUAAGUUGGCAGAGUGGUCAGCUCACAACCUCAUAGUUGCAAUAAUCAUAUCCUGUCUAGAUUUGAAGUCUAGAAAUGUAUUUUAUUUUAUACCUACGUGACUUUACCGAAAGAACCAAAGAGUAAUCAUAUCCUGGUCGGGGCCGGGAAAUUAGGUACCACUUAUUCACCCAGGGCUAUUGAGUUUAUGAGAGUAGCAUUGCUAAUUUUGAACUUUUUUGGCAAUUAAUAUUUCAUUAAAAGGUAAUUCUUAAUCCACUAAUCCAGGGAAUACUACUGCACUCAGCAGCUUAACUGUCAGAAAAUGACCGCCAGCCUACACAGCUGUUCCUAAUUCUCCAGAAAACCUUCACGUUUUGUGAACCGCUGAGUAAAUAUCCACAAGCUUGUACCACGACUUUCAUCAUGACAUCUUAAUUUAAUUUGCGCUCUCCAAUCAUUCUCACUUAAGUCUCACACAUGGGUACUGAUGUCUCUGCAACGUCAACGUGACGUGAUUGUCCUUCGUGGAGGACUUUUCCCCGCCUGACUUUCCUUCGGACUAACUUUCCUUCGACUAGCCUUUCUGUGGCUGACUCUUCCGUCACUGACUUUCCUGUACCGGCACUGACCUCAAGGUCGUUGAAGAACAAGUGUGUGUCGGCCAGGUUGAAGAUCAUCUCCUCCAUCCUGAGCCCAAGGGAGACGGACGUCGGAGGGUCCUGGAACGAACGCAAGCGGCACGUCAGUCACCCGGGGUGGGGGCUGUCUCCUGUCCACAGUGGAGAAAGGGCAGGCCUGGGAGAUGCCCCCACUGCCCCGGGGGCCCCUUGGGAGACGCCAUCAUCGAUGUAUCAUUUUGUGUCGUUUUUGUCAUCUCAUUUCGAUGUUCCCUCGUUAUUUCAGGCUCCUUUGUAAUAGUUUUGUUCACUCUGUGAGCUGAAAGUUAACAUUAGCGUGUCCGUUGCAAAUAUUUUUUCAUAAACUGUAAAAAAAAAAUCGUGCACACGAUUUGGCGAAUGUAUCACGGAUGUAAAAAAUAUGUUUUACCUGAUGCAUCGUUAAACGGCAAGUCCUCGUCAAGGGCACUAGUCUCAUUGGUCUGCGAGGAGGACGAGUAUUUGCGAUUUGCCCGUGGCCGUGCGGGAAGAUGUUCGUUCGGAUGGAAACCAAAUGAGUUUAACAAACGCCGGGUGGGGGAAUAACGGAAAAAACGAAAAAUAAUCGGUGAGAGCGGAGCAUAUUUACGGUGUCCUCGGAAGCAGCGCAUGGCUGGUCACAACCAAAUAAACACGCGGGAAUUUACGGGAAGGGCUGACAUUUCUAAUUAAACCCGCAGGUUGGAGGCCUCUGGCCAGCCCAUGCAAAACACCUAAAAAACAUCCCUGCCGUUGGAGAGUGUAAAUCUGUCACCGGUCAACCCUAAGGGUCAAAAAUGAGGUUCUGCUUCAAGAGCGCCGGGCCAAACUAAAGGCAACAACAUUCCAAAUAGCAGAGAGAGUGAGGGGUGCAUAAGUCAAUGUACAACUCUAGCUUGCAGCAACCAAUCCUUCUCUCUUAAUAAAUGUUUUAAAAACAAAUCUCUAAGUUAUGUCAGGGAGCACGUAACAUUAUUAACAAUACCUUUUCAUUGCAAUAUUUUUUGCUCACAGCGGCACCAGCGUGCACAAAAGACCGUGUAAAACAUUUCUACCCAAUGUGAACAAAUGUGUUCUUUUGCCCCAGGUUUCUAACCUGCGGUGUGGAUUGCAGCUGCAUCCCUAUAGGAGGACAGCUCCAAGCCUAUGUAAGCUACAAAAUUAACUAGACAGUACAAAUAAAACUCUAGAGCUGGACAAACACGGCCUGCGAAACGCGAAGCAUCCGUCCGGUAUAUCCCGUGUCCGCGUUUGCAAACAUCGCAGGUAAUCAUCAUGAUAACAGUCUCGUUGCACGAACGUUGGCGGGUUUUUAUAAUAAUGCUGGACGUAAAUUUAGCGGGAUUGCUUGGCUUCGCAUGCGUGCGCGCCGUUUUGAGUAUCGUUCAAUUCUGCGCAUUCCACGGACAAUAUUUGACCCAUGACUCAGAGGGUGAAUCAUAACCAGCAAGCCGCGGUGUGCGUGCCGCUCCGACGAGGACACGCGUUCGCAGCAGGAAAGACGAUUUGGCUGUUACUCCAGCGUGAUGGGUUUUUUUUACGCCAGCGAAUAACCUGAAACCAAAAUUCCAAGCGCAUUAACGGCACGUCACGCAACGGCACUUACGCAAACCCUGGGCACGCGCGAGUUGCGUGGACUUAAGUUUGGAGGGUGGCACGGGUGGCGUACACUCACGAAUAUCCACGCUCUGACUUUACAGCCAUGUGUGCGCGUGUCGGAACAGGAAAAGCAAACGUGUGGGUGCACACGUGUGGUUUGCGUGGUAACGGUCCAAUCACGUGCAUCUUACUUUGUGCAUAUGGGCUCGCACGUUUUAAAAAUACACAAUACAUUUACUUGAAAGCAGAA